UACGAGGGGGGCAAAUGUUGUUCGGAAUUACUGGGCGUAAAGGGCUCGUAGGCGGCCAACUAAGUCAGACGUGAAAUCCCUCAGCUUAACUGGGGAACUGCGUCUGAUACUGGAUGGCUUGGAUUUGGGAGAGGGAUGCGGAAUUCCAGGUGUAGCGGUGAAAUGCGUAGAUAUCUGGAGGAACACCGGUGGCGAAGGCGGCAUCCUGGACCAAUAUUGACGCUGAGGAGCGAAAGCUAGGGGAGCAAACAGG
rnacentral:rRNA from 1 species